rnacentral:rRNA from 1 species
GAUGAACGCUGGCGGCGUGCCUAAUACAUGCAAGUCGAGCGAACAGAUGAGGAGCUUGCUCCUCUGACGUUAGCGGCGGACGGGUGAGUAACACGUGGAUAACCUACCUAUAAGACUGGGAUAACUUCGGGAAACCGGAGCUAAUACCGGAUAAUAUAUUGAACCGCAUGGUUCAAUAGUGAAAGACGGUUUUGCUGUCACAUAUAGAUGGAUCCGCGCCGCAUUAGCUAGUUGGUAAGGUAACGGCUUACCAAGGCAACGAUGCGUAGCCGACCUGAGAGGGUGAUCGGCCACACUGGAACUGAGACACGGUCCAGACUCCUACGGGAGGCAGCAGUAGGGAAUCUUCCGCAAUGGGCGAAAGCCUGACGGAGCAACGCCGCGUGAGUGAUGAAGGUCUUCGGAUCGUAAAACUCUGUUAUUAGGGAAGAACAAAUGUGUAAGUAACUAUGCACGUCUUGACGGUACCUAAUCAGAAAGCCACGGCUAACUACGUG